CUGGGAGACCGUGAACACCAGAGCUUUACAAUCCGGUGCUUACCUUUGAGAAGACUGCAAGAGUAAUCUCCAUACUGAGGAUGAAGCUUUCAGCUCCACAUUCAGCGAAGCUGUUAUGAACAGGCAAAACAUGGCAAAAUAGUGUCAUGAAUUUGAAACAGGAAGAAGUGAUGCUCAUGAUCAAAUAAGGAGUGGAAGGCCACCCACUGUCACCGAAGAAAUCAUCCAAAAAAACUGAUGAAAACAUUCGUGCUGACAGAAGUUUAACCAUCGAUGAACUUCAUCAACAAUGUCCAGAAGUGUCAAGAACUGUUCAUGGCUACAGGCUGGAAUAAUAAAACUCAUUCCCAGCCUCACUAAGGACAUUGCACACGUAGUAAAGAAUAGCAGCAGCACGCACAUAGGGAGACUACACAAAAUAACACCUGUACAGUGCUGGA